GAGGAGCUGAGGAGGGUCAUAGAAGACCAACAGGUGCAGGUUGCUGACAGGAAAAGUCUUCCCUUCACUGACACCGUCAUCCAUGAGAUACAGAGACUGAGCAGCAUCAUCCCCACUACACUUCCCCACAAAACCACCCGAGACAUCACUUUUCAGUCUAACCUUCUCGAUAAAGUGAGAAGAGGAGUGGGAGAGGCCACGCAGCUUUUAUCCUGCUCACUUCCUGGACAAAGAAAAAAAGUUUGUUAAGUCGCAGGGUUUGCCUCGGAGAGAGUCUGG